rnacentral:tRNA from 1 species
GCCUUGGUAGUAUAGUGGUUAGUAUGUGAGCCUGUCGAGUUCACGACAUGGGUUCGAAUCCCAUCCAAGGCG